AGAGUUUGAUCCUGGCUCAGGAUGAACGCUGGCGGCGUGCUUAACACAUGCAAGUCGAACGAACCUUCGGGUUAGUGGCGGACGGGUGAGUAACGCGUGGGAAUCUGCCCUCAGGAGGGGGAUAACGGCUGGAAACGGCCGCUAAUACCCCAUAUGCCGAGAGGUGAAAUGAAUUUCGCCUGAGGAUGAGCCCGCGUCUGAUUAGCUUGUUGGUGAGGUAAUGGCUCACCAAGGCUUCGAUCAGUAGCUGGUCUGAGAGGAUGAUCAGCCACACUGGGACUGAGACACGGCCCAGACUCCUACGGGAGGCAGCAGUGGGGAAUUUUCCGCAAUGGGCGAAAGCCUGACGGAGCAACGCCGCGUGAGGGACGAAGGCCUCUGGGCUUUAAACCUCUUUUCUCAAGGAGGAAGAUAUGACGGUACUUGAGGAAUAAGCCACGCCUAAUUCCGUGCCAGCAGCGCGGUAAUACAGGAGUGGCAAGCCGUAUCCGAAAUUAUUGGCGUAAAGCGUCGCAGGCGGCCUUUCAAGUCUGCUGUUAAAACGUGGAGCUUAACUCCAUCAAGGCAGUGGAAACUGUUGGGCUUGAGUGUGGUAGGGGCAGAGGGAAUUCCCGGUGUAGCGGUGAAAUGCGUAGAUAUCGGGAAGAACACCAGUGGCGAAGGCGCUCUGCUGGGCCAUAACUGACGCUCAUGGACGAAAGCCAGGGGAGCGAAAGGGAUUAGAUACCCCUGUAGUCCUGGCCGUAAACGAUGAACACUAAGUGUCGGGGGAAUCGACCCCCCUCGGUGUCGUAGCCAACGCGUUAAGUGUUCCGCCUGGGGAGUACGCACGCAAGUGUGAAACUCAAAGGAAUUGACGGGGGCCCGCACAGCGGUGGAGUAUGUGGUUUAAUUCGAUGCACGCGAAGAACCUUACCAGGAUUUGACAUCCUGCGAACCUCUAAGAAAUUGGAGGGUGCCUUCAGGACGCAGUGACAGGUGAUGCAUGGCUGUCGUCAGCUCGUGUCGUGAGAUGUUGGGGCAAGUCCCGCAACGAGCGCAACCCACGUUUUUAGUUGCCAGCAUUUAGUUGGGCACUCUAGAGAGACCGCCGGUGAUAAACCGGAGGAAGGUGUGGACGACGUCAAGUCAUCAUGCCCCUUACAUCCUGGGCUACACACGUACUACAAUGCUACGGACAAAGGGCAGCUAACUCGCGAGGGCAAGCAAAUCCCAUAAACCGUGGCUCAGUUCAGAUCGUAGGCUGCAACUCGCCUACGUGAAGUAGGAAUCGCUAGUAAUCGCAGGUCAGCAUACUGCGGUGAAUACGUUCCCGGGCCUUGUACACACCGCCCGUCACACCAUGGAAGUUGGCCCCGCCCGAAGUCGUUACUCCAACCCUUGUGGAGGAGGACGCCGAAGGUGGGGCUAAUGACUGGGGUGAAGUCGUAACAAGGUAACC
rnacentral:rRNA from 2 species